rnacentral:rRNA from 1 species
CUUGUCGGGUAAGUUCCGACCUGCACGAAUGGCGUAAUGAUGGCCAGGCUGUCUCCACCCGAGACUCAGUGAAAUUGAACUCGCUGUGAAGAUGCAGUGUACCCGCGGCAAGACGGAAAGACCCCGUGAACCUUUACUAUAGCUUGACACUGAACAUUGAGCCUUGAUGUGUAGGAUAGGUGGGAGGCUUUGAAGCGUGGACGCCAGUCUGCGUGGAGCCGACCUUGAAAUACCACCCUUUAAUGUUUGAUGUUCUAACGUGGACCCGUAAUCCGGGUUGCGGACAGUGUCUGGUGGGUAGUUUGACUGGGGCGGUCUCCUCCUAAAGAGUAACGGAGGAGCACGAAGGUUGGCUAAUCCUGGUCGGACAUCAGGAGGUUAGUGCAAUGGCAUAAGCCAGCUUGACUGCGAGCGUGACGGCGCGAGCAGGUGCGAAAGCAGGUCAUAGUGAUCCGGUGGUUCUGAAUGGAAGGGCCAUCGCUCAACGGAUAAAAGGUACUCCGGGGAUAACAGGCUGAUACCGCCCAAGAGUUCAUAUCGACGGCGGUGUUUGGCACCUCGAUGUCGGCUCAUCACAUCCUGGGGCUGAAGUAGGUCCCAAGGGUAUGGCUGUUCGCCAUUUAAAGUGGUACGCGAGCUGGGUUUAGAACGUCGUGAGACAGUUCGGUCCCUAUCUGCCGUGGGCGCUGGAGAACUGAGGGGGGCUGCUCCUAGUACGAGAGGACCGGAGUGGACGCAUCACUGGUGUUCGGGUUGUCAUGCCAAUGGCACUGCCCGGUAGCUAAAUGCGGAAGAGAUAAGUGCUGAAAGCAUCUAAGCACGAAACUUGCCCCGA